rnacentral:sRNA from 1 species
AGUUCGCAGAAGCCAUCGUUGCAGUAAAUGAUGGCACAGUUCUCCAUCUGCGCAUUGGCAAUCAGGAACUUCCGACCUGGAGUGGAAGCCCCACAGCCCUGCCCUUUCCUUUUACCCCAUCAGAAGUUAGUGAAGAGUUUGGCCCCUCCUGCCAUCCAACCCACACUGCAGCGUCUCCUCCACACCCCAAAACCUCACACUUACUCUGGCCUUCAAACUUGCGGAUGAUGGUGUCCAA